rnacentral:rRNA from 1 species
UACGUAGGGUGCAAGCGUUGUCCGGAAUUAUUGGGCGUAAAGGGCUCGUAGGCGGUCCAUCGCGUCGGGAGUGAAAAGCUGGGGCUCAACCCCAGUCCUGCUUCCGAUACGGGUGGACUAGUGGUAUGCAGGGGAGAACGGAAUUCCUGGUGUAGCGGUGAAAUGCGCAGAUAUCAGGAGGAACACCAGUGGCGAAGGCAGCUCGCUGGAACGGUACUGACGCUGAGGCGCGAAAGCGUGGGGAGCGAACAGG